rnacentral:rRNA from 1 species
AGCGGCGGACGGGUGAGUAACACGCGGGUAACCUGCCCAAGAGACUGGGAUAACACCUGGAAACAGAUACUAAUACCGGAUAACAACACUAGACGCAUGUCUAGAGUUUGAAAGAUGGUUCUGCUAUCACUCUUGGAUGGACCUGCGGUGCAUUAGCUAGUUGGUAAGGUAACGGCUUACCAAGGCAAUGAUGCAUAGCCGAGUUGAGAGACUGAUCGGCCACAUUGGGACUGAGACACGGCCCAAACUCCUACGGGAGGCAGCAGUAGGGAGUCUUCCACAAUGGACGAAAGUCUGAUGGAGCAACGCCGCGUGAGUGAAGAAGGGUUUCGGCUCGUAAAGCUCUGUUGGUAGUGAAGAAAGAUAGAGGUAGUAACUGGCCUUUAUUUGACGGUAAUUACUUAGAAAGUCACGGCUAACUACGUGCCAGCAGCCGCGGUAAUACGUAGGUGGCAAGCGUUGUCCGGAUUUAUUGGGCGUAAAGCGAGUGCAGGCGGUUCAAUAAGUCUGAUGUGAAAGCCUUCGGCUCAACCGGAGAAUUGCAUCAGAAACUGUUGAACUUGAGUGCAGAAGAGGAGAGUGGAACUCCAUGUGUAGCGGUGGAAUGCGUAGAUAUAUGGAAGAACACCAGUGGCGAAGGCGGCUCUCUGGUCUGCAACUGACGCCGAGGCUCGAAAGCAUGGGUAGCGAACAGGAUUAGAUACCCUGGUAGUCCAUGCCGAAAACGAUGAGUGCUAAGUGU